rnacentral:tRNA from 1 species
UCGCCCUUCGUCUAACGGUAGGACACCUGACUCUGGAUCAGGCAAUUAAGGUUCAAAUCCUUGAGGGCGAACCA